CCUACGGGAGGCAGCAGUGGGGAAGUUUUGGACAAUGGGCGCAAGCCUGAUCCAGCAAUGCCGCGUGAGUGAAGAAGGCCUUCGGGUUGUAAAGCUCUUUUGUCAGGGAAGAAACGGUCUACUCUAAUACAGUGGGCUAAUGACGGUACCUGAAGAAUAAGCACCGGCUAACUACGUGCCAGCAGCCGCGGUAAUACGUAGGGUGCAAGCGUUAAUCGGAAUUACUGGGCGUAAAGCGUGCGCAGGCGGUUAUAUAAGUCAGAUGUGAAAUCCCCGGGCUCAACCUGGGAACUGCAUUUGAGACUGUAUGGCUAGAGUGUGUCAGAGGGGGGUAGAAUUCCACGUGUAGCAGUGAAAUGCGUAGAUAUGUGGAGGAAUACCGAUGGCGAAGGCAGCCCCCUGGGAUAACACUGACGCUCAUGCACGAAAGCGUGGGGAGCAAACAGGAUUUAGAUACCCGUGGUAGUCCACGCCCUUAAAACGGAUGUACUACUAGUUGUACCGGGUACUUAAUUGUCUUAGGUACGCAGUCUAACGCGUAGAAGUACGACCGCCGUUGGGGUAAGGUACGGUCGUUCGAAGUAAGUUAAACGUUAACGUAAGGAAGUUAGACGGCGNGAGACGNGCGACGGACGACGACGAGGGAGGAGG
rnacentral:rRNA from 1 species